ACAUGAAUUAUGGAGCAUCUUUUCCUUUACAUGACUGAACAUAGUUAAAAUGCUUACCUGCUAAUUCCAACAUUUGGGUCAUCUUCCAUUCUCUUUUUAUGAAGAAACAGACUCAGUGAGCACGUGAUCACUUCUCACAACUAAUGGAGCCAGGAUUCUGUCCGUAUGCCUCCAGAGACCUCUUUUUUUUCCCCGCUGUACCACAACACUCACCAGGACUGGAGUGCCACCUAUGACCUCACUGCAUAAUGGGUGGCUUGUCCUCAAAUGGGCCCGGUCUUGGACGAGACUGAGGAUGUCUACAAGUGGAAGAAAAGCCACUGGAGCAGAAGGUGGGGAGGAUAAAAUUUGGAGCAAGAUUCUCAAGGAAGAAGCAACAAGAUCCUAA